AUGGGCGCAAGCCUGAUCCAGCAAUGCCGCGUGCAGGAAGAAGGCCUUCGGGUUGUAAACUGCUUUUGUACGGAGCGAAAAGGUUUCCUCUAAUACGGGGGACUGAUGACGGUACCGUAAGAAUAAGCACCGGCUAACUACGUGCCAGCAGCCGCGGUAAU
rnacentral:rRNA from 1 species